GACGAACGCUGGCGGCGUGCUUAACACAUGCAAGUCGAACGGAAAGGCCCUGCUUUUUUGGUGUGCUCGAGUGGCUAACGGGUGAGUAACACGUGAGUAAUCUGCCCUUGACUUUGGGAUAACUUCCGGAAACUGGGGCUAAUACCUGCUAGGAGCUCCUUCUGCUUGGUGUGGGUUGGAAAGUUUCGGCGGCUGGGGAUGGUCUCGCGGCUUAUCAGCUUGUUGGUGGGGUAGUGGAUUACCAAGGCUUUGACGGGUAGCCGGCCUGUGAGGGUGACAGGCCACAGUGGGACUGAGAUACGACCAAGACGCAUACGGGAGGAAGCAGUGGGGAAUAUUGCAAGAUGGGCGGAAGCCUGAUGCAGCAACGCCGGGUGCGGGAGGACGGCCUUCGGGUUGUAAACCGCUUUCGGCGGUGAGGGAGAGGGAGUGACGGUAAUGGGUAAAGAAGCAACGGCUAACUACGUG
rnacentral:rRNA from 1 species